CAGUCGCCGCGGUAAUACGUAGGGUGCAAGCGUUAAUCGGAAUUACUGGGCGUAAAGCGUGCGCAGGCGGUUAUAUAAGACAGAUGUGAAAUCCCCGGGCUCAACCUGGGAACUGCCUUUGUGACUGCAAGGCUAGAGUACGGCAGAGGGGGAUGGAAUUCCGCGUGUAGCAGUGAAAUGCGUAGAUAUGCGGAGGAACACCGAUGGCGAAGGCAAUCCCCUGGGCCUGUACUGACGCUCAUGCACGAAAGCGUGGGGAGCAAACAGGAUUAGAUACCCGAGUAGUCCCUGUCUCUUAUAC
rnacentral:rRNA from 1 species